rnacentral:rRNA from 1 species
AACUUCUGCGAAGCGUUUGCCAAGGAUGUUUUCAUUAAUCAAGAACGAAAGUUAGGGGAUCGAAGACGAUCAGAUACCGUCGUAGUCUUAACCAUAAACGAUGCCGACCAGCGAUUAGGAGACGUUGAAUACAAAACACCGCCGUUAAUCCUUUCGGGGGUUAAUGGUUGGUGAAUGACUCCCCUAGCAGCUUGUGAGAA